rnacentral:lncRNA from 1 species
GCCGGCGACAAUGCGAUAGGAACCAUGGUCUACACCAUUAGUGCCACUGUCAGCAUCGGUAGCUGUGUCCAGGAUAAGCUGUCGCCCGCUGCCCGUGUCCUCCUUGAAAGUCACCACGAUGGAGGGGUCGGGGAAGACGGGCGCGUUGUCGUUGAGGUCGAGCACGAGGACCCGCACCUCGCUGGGGCGUUUUUAUUGAGGUCAAGGGCAGGACAGAUGAUACUAAGCACAAAAAUGUGAGCUUCUAAGUGGUCUACCUCACCCUUUGACCUUGGUUUAGAAGGGGACAUCUAUACAGAAGUCAGAAUCUAUGGCUAUCUGCAUCAGCUAAAAGAUUGGUUCACCAAUUGAACAUUGAACACUAUUAUAAUAUUACUUUCAUUACCUCAACUCAAAUGAUGGAUGGAUAAAUAAAGAUCUGUAUGAGUGGAAUGCUUUACGUAACCCCUUCUCCCAAAAAAAAAUCCCAAACAGUAAAGACAAGACCAGCAGCUAUUUCACCAGAAGCACUGUAAUUUCAGACCAUUUGUUUCCCUGUGAAUUCUGAUUGCUUGUUUUGAGAUUAUAGAGUGGAAAAUCUGAGGUUACCUGUGAAUGAAUCUGAGGAAAAACAUGAAUAUAACAAAGUCAACAGCCUGGAACAGUAAAGCUCUCUUAUUGAGAAAGAGGACAGCAGCUGUGAAGGAAGUACUGAAUUUCUCUUUGGUUUGAAUUUAUUUUUUCGAUUAAAAAGGAGAAUAUACUCCUCUUUCUAUGUUCUCACCAAGAUUCAAAAAUUAAGACUGUGGAAAGAAUACCUGUUAAUCUUGAGAUAAUUUCUGCCUUCAAAUAACUGCAGUAUGACAUUUCAGAGCAUAAAAACCAAUGACCACCACCCAGAACCCAGGUGGGAAUGGUUGUGUUCAGCUUGAUACUGUUCAAGAAUGCUAGUGUUAAAAUGACACCCAGGGUGAGCCAGGCAGAUGUUUUCUCCUCAUCUUCCGCUCCCCGUCAGGCUCGAAUCUAGAAACAUCCACCCAAAUUCCUGCUUUUAUAACAGGCUAUUACCCCAAUAAACACACGCCUUGUCAUGCCUCACUCCUUAAUAUUUUCACUGACAUCAGCGUAAAUACAGGCCAGGUAUUACUUAUCUGUAAAGUCCAAAGACAGCUUUAAAGCCAGUUUUUGUUGCGGUAGUUAUGUUUAGGGGAAACAGUUAUUCAGUAUUCUCAUGUACUUUACAAAAGGUAGCAGUACAUCUUAGUGCCUGCAGCUGUGUUUUUAACCAUUGUGAAGAUCAGCAGGUUUAUGAAUGGAAAACAUCUUGGUCUUGACUUCAUUCAGAAGCUAGAACGGACCUUCACUGUCUCUGUUCUGAUGUUUGUGCAGUCUCUCUGUGUUGCCUGAUUUGUUGUACGCUCAGUUGCACAUUCAAGUUUAAGUCUUUGGAUGACUGCAAAUGCAGCGGCUUGUCUUUGACAUAUUUUGAUACAUCAAAUGCACCAUAAAUAAAUGAUACAUGUGCAUCUUCAUGGAUGAAAAA